rnacentral:rRNA from 1 species
GAUCAUGGCUCAGGAUGAACGCUGGCGGCGUGCCUAACACAUGCAAGUCGAGCGAGAAGUCAUGGAUGGAAUCUUCGGAGGAAAGAAAUGAUGGAAAGCGGCGGACGGGUGAGUAACGCGUAGGUAACCUGCCCCAUACAGAGGGAUAGCCACUGGAAACGGUGAUUAAUACCUCAUGACACUUUCUUCUUCGCAUGGAGGGAAGGGUCAAAGAAUUUAUCGGUAUGGGAGUGG